rnacentral:lncRNA from 1 species
UUUGACCAUCUGUAGAUGACCCCAUAUUAACACAGCACUCAAAGAAUUAUGAUUUCAUUAUUUCAGCUAGAUAAGAGCUAAACAACUACACCUUCCUCUCUGCCCUUCGCCUUGGAACAGCAUCAGUAAAUGCCCAACUUUUAAGCCGAGGAGAAGUCUAGCUAAUAGCAGCACUAAAGGUGGAAGAUAAAAGAAGAUUGGCUUAAUUGCUAUUUUUCACACGACAUGUUCUGUAAAUGCAUAAUUGAUUGUGGCGGUUCUACAAAUCAAAGCCCAACCACAUGCAUAGCCUUACAGGAUCACUUCGGUUGAACCCAAAAGUAAAUAUCAUUCCAGUAAUCCUGCUCUUGUUUCUUUCAAGUACCUAUGGUAGCUACAAAGAUGAUAUCUGGGGUGAUAUUGUGCCAAUAACUGUUAGAUAAUUCUUCUUGGAAGAUAUACAGCAAAGAUACAUAACAAAGUGGAAAUGCAAAUAUUUGCCCUUAUAGCCUAUAUAUAUAUAUACUUACCCGCGCUAUCCAAAAUGCAAUUUUAUGUAGACAGUAAAG